AGCGUGGGAGCCGAGGCCACGUUCCCGCAGCUGUGAGGGCAGCUCGCUUGUAGCAGCCCUGGGAGCACGUGGUAGGGAAGGGGAGCCAGGGCCAGCACUGACAAGGGAGAAUCGCGGCGCCAAGGUCCCUUUGCGCACAGCCCAAAUUCGAAGGACGCGUUUCCCUGGGAACGUCCCUGGAGGACGGGGAAUCUGUAUGCCAUUACCAGCCAUUGAACCACCCCUGCUCUCGGUGCCUGUUUCCAGCAGGCUCACCCCAGAAACACAAGGUGCUUAAGACGGGUUCGCGGCGCAUGGGGCUGCCGACCACCUGACGGCGGGCACCAGCUCCGCAGAUGCGCAUUCAUCCAACUGCAGGCGCUGCACUCAAAGGCGUGUAGGCCCUGAGCCUGUAUAACUUCCUCUGGACCCACGCAAUUCCCUUGGAGAGCGCCAGGCACGACCCUGCUGUGGCUUCUAACUACAAGGCUUCCCUCAGGUGGACAGGCCCACCCCUCAGGGAGACUAGGAUAAGAGGACACCACACACCCGGACAUCAGCGGAGCAUGUCCAGCACCCAGCACACAAAGGCCUCCUGCAUCUCAGAAACUCAGAGAAGCAGCCGCCUCACACCACCCCCGGUCCCUCCCGUCCCUCAGCUGCAACCACCUGCCCACUUUUUCUGCCUCCCGUCUCUGGUCAGCCCAGGCCGUCUUGGCCGGGGUCCACCCACUCCAAAAACCACCACAGUUGUGGCGUUGCCUCCUCGCCAGACAGAGAUAGAGGGCCAACAAUGAAGGGUGACUGGCCAAAUGUCUGGGAGAUGGCCCUGUUCCACAUUGUCUGUGUUCUUGCGAAAUUGCAAGGCGUCACGAGGCUUGCCCACCCAAUCCUCUGGAGAGUUCUUGCGCAGAGGUAGAUUGUUUGGCACACGAGAUGUCGGCGUGGGUCGGAAAGCAUGCGGAAGUCCUGCUUUGCUACGUGAUGGAUUUGCAGGUGGAGGAACUCAGCCAUCCCGGUUACCGGUGGCAGGAUGAUUUCCUUUCAUCCCAACCUUUAUUUCCACAGUGAAAUCAUCAUGAAGGAGCACUGUGUUGGCAUCCUCGGCUACAGGGUGUCUCAUUCCACUGCAGUCCAGCGGUUCUGGGAUCACGAAGGUCAAGCCUCCAGCUGCAGGCAGUACACCUCCUACCUGAGCUCAUUCAGCUGUUUGGCUGAACAUGACUGCCCGGGUUUUGGCAGGAUUGCUGAGGUGGGGUUCGCCAUGGGGCAUCAUGGGAAAGGACCUAGCUGGUCAUUCCUUGGUCUCUGGGGAAUUGGCUUUGAACUGUCACCUGAACUGUCCUGG